UGGAUGACUCUGUAACAGACUAAUUGGAAUUGUUGAAGCUGCUCCCUGGUUCCACUCUGGAGAGUAAUCUGGGACAUCUUAGUGUUUUGUUUUGUUUUUUUCCCUCCUCUUUUCUAGGACGCACUAUAUGUGACUGUGACUUUCAAGGACAUUUGUUUGCCAUUUGCUGAUUUUUUUGGGAAGUUAAUUUCUAACUUCUUUCACUGAUAAAUGAAGAAAAGUAUUGCACCUUUGAAAUGCACCAAAUGAAUUGAGUUUGUAAUUAAAAAAAUUUUUUUCCCUUUCA
rnacentral:lncRNA from 1 species